UGAAGAACAUCGAUGCGCCAUUGGAGUGCAGGUAGCGCAGCAGCCAGCCGUAGUUGACGUCGCGGACGAUCAGUUCAACCGACUUGAAGGCGAAAUCGACAUGCGGGGUGUAGUGCAUCGCCAGGAUGAUGCCGGUGAUGAUCUGCACGCCGAGCAUCAUCGAAAGGAUCGCGCCGAACGUCCACCAGUAGUUGAGGUUACGCGGCGUCGGGUAGGCAA
rnacentral:misc_RNA from 1 species